CUACGGGGUGCUGCAGUGAGGAAUAUUGGUCAAUGGGCGCGAGCCUGAACCAGCCAUCCCGCGUGCAGGAUGACGGCCCUAUGGGUUGUAAACUGCUUUUCUAUGCCAAGAAACCUGAUUACGUGUAAUCAGUUGCCGGUAGCAUAGGAAUAAGCAUCGGCUAACUCCGUGCCAGCAGCCGCGGUAAUACGGAGGAUGCAAGCGUUAUCCGGAUUCAUUGGGUUUAAAGGGUGCGCAGGUGGGCUUGUAAGUCAGUGGCGAAAUGCUGCCGCUUAACGGUAGAACUGCCAUUGAUACUCGAGUCUUGAGUAUGGUUGAGGUAGGCGGAAUGUGUUGUGUAGCGGUGAAAUGCAUAGAUAUGACACAGAACGCCAAUUGCGAAGGCAGCUUACUAAGCCAUUACUGACGCUGAGGCACGAAAGCGUGGGGAGCGAACAGGAUUAGAUACCCGCGUAGUC
rnacentral:rRNA from 1 species